rnacentral:SRP_RNA from 1 species
GCUGGGUGCAAUGACAUCGCUGUAGUCCCAGUUACCUGGGAGGCUGAGGCCAGAGGAUCACUUGAGCCCAGGAGUUACGGACUGUAGAGAGCUGUGCCAAUCAGGUAUCUGCACUAAGUUCAGUAUCAAUAUAGUGACUUCCUGGCAGUAGGGGACCACCAGGUUGCCACAGGAGGGGUGAAUUGGCUCAGGUCUAUAAUGGAGCAGAUCAAAACCCUUGUGCUAAUCAGUAGUGAGAUUGUGCCUGUGAAUAGACUAUACUCCAGCUUGGACAACAUAGCAAGAAA